UACGUAGGUGGCGAGCGUUGUCCGGAAUGACUGGGCGUAAAGGGCGUGUAGGCGGCCUGGUAAGCGGGGGGUGAAAGACCGCAGCUCAACUGCGGGGGUGCCCUUCGGACUGCCGGGCUUGAGUGGGUCAGAGGGCAGCGGAAUUCCCGGUGUAGCGGUGAAAUGCGUAGAGAUCGGGAGGAACACCAGUGGCGAAGGCGGCUGCCUGGGGCCCAACUGACGCUGAGGCGCGAAAGCUGGGGGAGCAAACAGGAUUAGAUACCCUGGUAGUCCCAGCUGUAAACGAUGAGCGCUACGUGUGAGGGGUAUCGACCCCCCUCGUGCGGAAGCCAACGCAUUAAGCGCUCCGCCUGGGGAGUACGGCCGCAAGGCUGAA
rnacentral:rRNA from 1 species